UACGUAGGGUGCAAGCGUUGUCCGGAAUUACUGGGCGUAAAGCGUGCGCAGGCGGUUUUGUAAGUCAGAUGUGAAAUCCCCGGGCUUAACCUGGGAACUGCGUUUGAAACUACAAGGCUAGAGUGUGGCAGAGGGGGGUGGAAUUCCACGUGUAGCAGUGAAAUGCGUAGAGAUGUGGAGGAACACCGAUGGCGAAGGCAGCCCCCUGGGUCAAGAUUGACGCUCAUGCACGAAAGCGUGGGGAGCAAACAGG
rnacentral:rRNA from 1 species